CGAUAUCGCUGGUCAAGAGUAAAGCGGGCGUGGUGUCCGGUUCUCGUAAAAGCCCAGCAGACGACAGCUGCCCAGGACUCCUCAUGGCGCGCAUGCGCGUAUUCUCGUUCAUUUCGUCGCUGCGCUCCGUUGUGCGGCGCUUAUCAACUCGCCG
rnacentral:lncRNA from 1 species